rnacentral:rRNA from 1 species
CACGUAGGGGACGAGCGUUGUCCGGAUUCAUUGGGCGUAAAGCGCGCGUAGGCGGCUCGGAAAGUCGGUCGUGAAAUGCCGGGGCUCAACCCCGGGACUGCGUCCGAUACUUCCGGGCUGGAGGUAGGUAGGGGAGAUCGGAAUUCCUGGUGUAGCGGUGAAAUGCGCAGAUAUCAGGAGGAACACCGGUGGCGAAGGCGGCUCACUGGCCCGGUACUGACGCUGAGGUGCGAAAGCGUGGGGAGCAAACAGG